AUUCUUUGAGAGAACUUCUCCACCGACCCCGUCACCUGGAUUGGAUCACCGACCUCUCCCAAGAGGGGCCUGGCUUCCUCCUCGCUGGGGAAACGGUAGGGAGCUCCCCUAGGUAAAGCCUCUAGGGAGAGUGGCCAGGAGCCGGGUCAGGAAAGGCUCUGGUGCCCAAAGGGCUGCCCGCAGAGGCUGAGGUCCCUGCAAGUGCACAGGGAGGAGAGGUGAGAUCAGAUUCCAGCCGAGUCAGGCUUCCAUGUCAGACUGCGUGUGUUUAUGCAGAGGUGCAACUCAGGAAUUACUGAGGAGAAAGUACAGGGCCAAUUUAACCUCCUCUGAGAGACCUCUAACCCUGCUCAUCACCACUCCUCGCUAAAAAGGGCCCUCUCCAGGGAAGAACCCAGAGGGAGAGCGGGAAUUCUCCUCCCCUUGGAGGAAGAGUGCUUCCUCUACCCUUAAUGUAUCAACUGACAACAAUUCAAACAGAAGGAAACUAGGAUGUGACAAAUAAAGGAAGCCUUUUCAUGCUCUAUGUCCACUGGCGUCGGGCAAGCCCCGGUGGAAGUCCAAGGAAAAGAGUCUAAGACCCAAACAGAUGGUUUGCGCCAAAGUUCUGAAGUGUAUCAGACGUGAAUAAAGGUCUUCGAUUCCCUGCCCCCUGCCCGAGGACCUGCCUCCUCCCUGCCCGAGGACCAAGCUUCAGAAGAACUGCACAUGGGAGGAAAUACCAACCGCUUAACUUCUUCAGAGACAACCUCUAACCCGGCUCACCACCACGCUAGCUAAAAAAGGGCCCUCUCCCAGGGAAGAUCCCGGAGGAAGAGUGGGAAUUCACCCUCCCCUUGGGGGAGGAGUGCUUUCUCUACCCUUAAUUUAUGAACUGAGAAAAAUCCUAACAAGCCUACUAUGAAAUAAAGAUGCCCUUAACCCAUUUAUGCCUAGUGUUCCAUUAUUGGAACGCUAAGCUUGUGGGAGUUAUUUAUAUCCUACUGCUCAAAACCAUUGCCAAGGUCUGAUUUUUCACACAAAAAAAUUUGCAACCUUCGGUAUAAAUGGGUUAAUUCCAAAGCCUAAAGCAACCUAAGACAUCUCAGUCCACAGUGAGCCCAGCCUCCAGCUGCAGGUGUUGGCUUCCACACAGCGCAGGACCAAGCAGUUUUGUGCUGAGUCCAUCUCUGUGGCCACCGGCCACCCGGUGCUGGGGCUGGUCCCCAGCUCAUCUGCACAGGGUUGGUGGAAGGGGCCAGAGGCAGCCUGGGCUCUGAAUUCCACCCAGACCUGGGGAAUAGGCCUGGUAGGGGAGUGAAUGCCAGGGCCGCUGGUGGCCUUGGCUCUUCUGCACGGCAGCAACUGUGGUGGCCUGAGAAUAAGGAGUUACCAUAAGGACGUAGAGGUAGAUCACCAGAGCCGCAUCCACACCCAGAGAUAGACUCACACAUCUGUGGUGUGUUCAUUUCAACAAAGGUGCAGAGAAAAUUCCAUGGAGGAAAAACAAUAGCCUAUCAACAAAUGGUGUUAGAACGAUUGGAUAUCUCACGCAAAAAAUUAACUUUUAUCUGUAUCUCAUGUUAUGUAAAAAUGGAACCAAAAUAGAUUAUAAACAUAAUGUAGAAUAUAAAAGAAAUUAUGGUAAAAAUCAUAGGAAAAAAAUCUGUGCGACCUUAGUUAGGCAAAGAUAUUUUAAAUUUGACAGCAAAAGUACAAUCCAUAAAAGAAAAGAAACUGAUAAAUUGGACAUACUCAAAGUGAAGCACAUAUGCUAGUCAGAAGACACUACUGUUAAGAGAAUAAAAAAUAUAAGCCACAGAUCUGGAGAAAACAUUUGCAAACCAUAUAUCUGAAAAAAAUGGCUUGUACUUCACAUCUAAAAAGACUCAAAAGUCAAUAAUAGGAAAGAAGAGACAAUUUAAAAUGGGCAAAAUAGUUAAAAAGACAGAUCAGCCAAGAAGAUAUAUGGAUGAAAAUUAAACACAUUAAAUACAUCCGAUGUCAAUAACCCUGCUCCCUACCGGUUAGACAGCUGAUGUCAGAAAGGCCGACCCCAUCGCGCGUGCGCGAGCACAAGUGGGCAGGAACAGGAAAUGCCACGAGGACGCUGAAUCAAACCUGCCUACGUGAAGGGCUGAAGACGCGACAUUUCCUGACAGAGGUUGCUAUGUCUAGCAGCAUGAGCCUCUCCAUGAAGGCAUGAGGGGAGAAGACCUCUUCUCUACCUUGUCCCAGGUCUUCCAGGAUUGGUGUCUCCUUUGAGAAGCAGGACUGCUUUUAUAAGUAAGAAAAAUAUUGGUUCUUCAUUUUCAAAAUAACGUCUCAGCUACGUGUCCAAGUGUGUCACAUUGCAACAACUGCCCAGCUGUGGGGCUGGUCUUGGGGAGCAGAGGGGACUGAGGGGCCUGCCUCAUUACGAGCUGCACAGGAGGGCUGAGCUUGCAUUAGCAGCUUCUCCCUCCAGUGCAGGAGAACGCAUUAAGAUUUACGGUUCAUCUGAAAGUAGCUUAGAAAGAAACCAUAUGCUCUUAUCAUCUCUUGCAGAAGUUGCAGACAAGUUAUUUAAAAAUCUCGUUUUCUUAAACUGUCUUUAUUGCAAAGAAAAGAGCCUCUGGGAUCCACUUCAAGUAGUCAUUGUGGAGGGUACAGCAAGCCAGCCCUGGGCUAAGCAUUUACCCCACUAAUUCACCACCACAGCAAGGUGGAGAUCCUUGAGUUUUUGCCUGUGUUUCACAAAUGAGGAAUCCGAGGAGCAGAGACCUGAAGUGACCUGUCCAGGACACAAGAGUGAACCCGGGGACAAAGCCAACCCGCUCUGCUGGGGCUAGUGCCUUUCCACACUCCUCUGUUUCUAUAUUUAAACCGAGUGAAAGGAGACAUGGAAAAUACAUUAGCCCAUUUGGAGGUGAAUUUGAUACACUCUCAUUUGUCAUAGAGGGUAGAAAAAGAUGGAAAAGAGAAACGGGCUGGUGGGGAGGAGGGAAGAGCAGAGACCAGGGCCUCAGCCCAACCUCCAUCCGCUUCCCACUUUCUCUCCCUGUCCCUUUCCUGGAGGCCUUGCUUGCUCCUCACAAAGCUGUCAUUCUUAUGCCUUGCAUGAAUUUGGGUAUUUUAACUUGUCUAUUAAAAAUAUAAAUCUGGCCCCAUAUAUAUGCUUAAUUAAUAUUAUCAUGUAUCCCCUUCAAAAUACUCUGUGGCCAAAGUUUGUGCCCUUUUAUGCAGGAUCGGGAAUGGAUUCCCUAAUAAAUGUCUUGCAUUUUUCCCAUCACAAAAUGUAGUUAAAUUAGCGUCUCUUCAUCCUAAUUUUAUUUCUCCAUUUGGACAAAGCAUCUUCACUUCCAACAGCUGAGCUUUUCAAAGAUAUUUAUUUCUGUGUAGAAUUAAAAAAAAUUGAAUAUUACCAUUUCUGAAAAUAAGUAACUCAAAACUUUCCUUUAAAAUUAUUGCAAAAGUUUCAUAAAUUCAGUUAGAUAUAUGCUUAGGGAAAAUACAGAGUUUGAAGGAAUUUUUAAAAGACCACAUAUUCUAUAAUUCUGUUUAUAUGAAAGUUUUAGAACAGGCAAACCCAUGGAGACAUCGAGUAGAUUGGUGGUGGCCAGGGACUGGUGGAGGGAGGUGGCAGGCAAGAGAAUGGCUGCUGACGGGUAUGGGGUUCCUUUCAGAGUAAAAAUGUUCUAAAAUUACCUUGUGGUUGUGGUUGCACAGCACUGAGACUAUACUAACUGGCAUGUACGGUUUAUUAAUUAUAUUUCAACAAAGCUAUUAAAAUAUUCAGUUUCCAA
rnacentral:lncRNA from 10 species